rnacentral:lncRNA from 1 species
GGCCCAAAGCUGCUUCUGUUUCCUUGUGGCCUCAGGCUGGCUCUAGCUAGUAGGACACCAUGACCCAGAGUAACUAAAGGGAAUUAUUGGCAUCCUCCCACGAGCUCCUACCAGGCCAGUGCCAGAAACACUCAUCUACUCCCUUAUGGAAGAUCACUGAGUCAUGAGAUCUGUGGUUUGUCUGAUUCUCCACUUCCCGAAGCCAGCCAAGGCUAACCGACCUGGGAUUCUGAGAGACUGUCCAGCUUUCAGAGGCCAGUCUCAUUUUGUCCAGCAAUGACAGCAACAGCAAAACCUUCCUUUGGCCCUCAUUCACAAUACAGUGUUCUGGGAGGAGGCGGCUGACCAGCUGACUGCAGUGAUGAAGAAAGGAGUGUCCCACAGGACUCUGAUUCAGCAGGGACCUCCAGAGCUUCUGACUCAUGGGGGUGUGCUCCCAAGGGACAUAGGUGUGUCUUCAAGUGCCAAGAAUGAAUGGGAACUGGCUUCUGCACUUGGCCCUGUGAGAACAGCCUAAGCCAAGGGAGGGGAGAUUCUAAAAGAAAUGACUGUAAUUAAAGGUAGAAAAAAGUGGAUGAGUCAAAAAAAUGUAUAAAUAGUGUUUAAUAUUCAACUUAGUACUUAAUUAAAUAUUGUCUUCUAUUA